CUACGGGAGGCUCCAGUGAGGAAUAUUGCACAAUGGGGGGAACCCUGAUGCAGCAACGCCGCGUGGAGGAUGACGCAUUUCGGUGUGUAAACUCCUUUUAUAUGUCAAGAAAAUGACGGUAGCAUAUGAAUAAGCACCGGCUAACUCCGUGCCAGCAGCCGCGGUAAUACAGAGGGUGCAAGCGUUACUCGGAAUCACUGGGCGUAAAGGACGCGUAGGCGGGCUUGUAAGUCAGGUGUGAAAUCCUACAGCUUAACUGUAGAACUGCACUUGAAACUACGAGCCUAGAGUAUGGGAGGGGCAGAUGGAAUUAGUGGUGUAGGGGUAAAAUCCGUAGAUAUCACUAGGAAUACCUAAAGCGAAGGCGAUCUGCUGGAACAUAACUGACGCUAAGGCGUGAAAGCGUGGGGAGCAAACAGGAUUAGAUACCCCGGUAGUC
rnacentral:rRNA from 1 species